rnacentral:siRNA from 1 species
GAUAUAGCUGGUGCAGCCAGA